rnacentral:rRNA from 1 species
UACGUAGGGGGCGAGCGUUGUCCGGAUUUAUUGGGCGUAAAGAGCUCGUAGGCGGUUUGGCAAGUCGGGUGUGAAAACUCCGGGCUCAACUCGGAGACGCCACUCGAUACUGCUAUGGACUCGAGUCCGGUAGGGGAGUGGCGGAAUUCCUGGUGUAGCGGUGAAAUGCGCAGAUAUCAGGAGGAACACCGGUGGCGAAGGCGGCACUCUGGGCCGGUACUGACGCUGAGGAGCGAAAGCGUGGGGAGCGAACAGG